UACAGAGGUCCCGAGCGUUGUUCGGAUUCACUGGGCGUAAAGGGCGCGUAGGCGGUUCGCUAAGUUGGAUGUGAAAACUCUGGGCUUAACCCAGAGCCUGCAUCCAAAACUGGCGAACUGGAGUACUGGAGGGGAAAGCGGAAUUCCUGGUGUAGCGGUGAAAUGCGUAGAUAUCAGGAGGAACACCGGUGGCGAAGGCGGCUUUCUGGACAGUAACUGACGCUGAGGCGCGAAAGCUAGGGGAGCAAACAGG
rnacentral:rRNA from 1 species